CCAGGACCACCACCGGCCUCCGCACCCCCGGGACCCCGCCUCUCUGGGCCUCGGGGACUGAGGAGCGAGAGGAGGAAAGAAAUCGUUUUGCUCCCAGUGAUAAGCUCUUCGUGAAGUCAGAAAGAAACACUCCAGCUUUCCUCCCGCGUUUUGGAUCAUCUAGAUGGGAUGUCUUAUGAAAAAAAGAUUGGAAGAUAACACUUCUAGGAGAAACUCUUGAAUCAUUUAGUCCAGCUUUCUGAAUUAGACAAAGCACCUUGCUGUGUGUUUACAUUUGACUUUUAAUUAACUCUUGGAUGUUUGCAUCAGCAUCUUAGCAGUCAGAGAGACCUUGUGAAGCUGUUUCCUUCCACUUAGUAGCCUCCUGUAUGAUGUGAAAAAAAUGAUCUGCAAAUUUUUUUGUGUUUUUUUUCCCCUGAUAGCUUUUAAUCCACAUGAAAUGUGAAAAUGUCAUUUCUUCCAAACAACAGUAAUAUAUUUGAUUGUAUAUAAAUUGUAUUUUCAUAUGCUUUUUCCAGAUCAAAGUAUGAGAAACAAUAUAUAUGUUGUCUCUGGAAGGGGCAGAGUUUCUCUAGAAUAAUACUACUUCUGUAGACUUUUUAAGGGGCUCUGUUCUGAUGGUAUCCAGCAAGAUAAUUUGCUUCUGUGACUUCUUUUCCUCCAUUGUCUUCUCUUUAAAUUAAACCAAAGGAAAUUUUGCCAGACCAUUUCCGUUGAGAGGAAGGCUGCAAUAUGUAUCUGUGCCAGCCAAACAGCUGUUCAUUUCCUGAAAACACCUGAAUAGGGCUGAGCUGCUGGGUGUCUGGGCUUCCCCCUGUCUGUAUUGUAUCUAUUAUCUCAGACUCUGUUCAGAAGACUAUAUAAAAGAGCAACAGCAGUUGUGACCAGCCACACAUAAAAUCUGUGGAUCUGUUUGGAAAAGCUUUUUUUCAAGGAGACAAAAUUUUCAUUGGAAAG